GCACUGAUCGCACUCACUGAAUCAGAAUGCGCAACAAAAAUAGAAAAAUAACCAAAUUAUUUGUAUAUCGAGUAAUAUGUUAGCCAGUUAAAACUUUUCUUGAGUUUCUUGAGCGGACACCUCUCUUUGCGGACAUUUGCUUAACCCAUUAUUUUGCUGAAAACGCGAAAACGAUUUGGUAACACAGACGCAGAGGACAAAUAAAUGAAUAAUAUUAUCCUCUAUAAAAAAUUUCGCAAAUAAAUAAGUUUAUAUCAUAGCCGCCUGCACGUGGCAGGCCUAUAAUUAAUAAUAAAUAGAAAUAUUUAGAAUAACUGUAA